AAACGGCCGCGGUACCCUAACCGUGCAAAGGUAGCAUAAUCAUUUGCCUUUUAAUUGUAGGCUUGUAUGAAUGGUUUGACGAGAGCUAAGCUGUCUCUUUCUUAAUAUUUAAAAAUUAACUUUUAGGUGAAGAGGCCUAAAUAAAACUAAGGGACGAGAAGACCCUAUUGAGCUUUAGUGAAGCAAUAAGUUUUGAGUGUAAUUAAAUUUACGAACUGUUAUAUAUUUAUAGAGUUUUAUUUUGUUGUGAAUCUUUAGUUGGGGCCGACUGAGGAACAAAAAAAGCUUCCUUUGUAUUAUAAGAUUUUGAUUUAUUUGAUAUGAUGUUAGCUAGCUAUUUGAUCCAGUAUUUAUUGAUUAAGGGAAAAAGUUACCAUAGGGAUAACAAGCGUAAUCUUUCUGGAGAGAUCAUAUCGAAAGGAGGGUUUGCGACCUCG
rnacentral:rRNA from 1 species